UACGGAGAGGGCUAGCGUUGUUCGGAAUUACUGGGCGUAAAGGGUACGUAGGCGGUUUAGUAAGUUAGGAGUGAAAUCCUGGAGCUCAACUCCAGAACUGCCUUUGAUACUGGGAGUCUUGAGUUCGGGAGAGGUGAGUGGAACUGCGAGUGUAGAGGUGAAAUUCGUAGAUAUUCGCAAGAACACCAGUGGCGAAGGCGGCUCACUGGCCCGAUACUGACGCUGAGGUGCGAAAGCGUGGGGAGCAAACAGG
rnacentral:rRNA from 1 species